UUCCAACGCUUCCUGAAAGCAGCGACGCUAUGCUUUUCAGUGAAAGUAAAAAGUUGCUGCUUUUAGAAACCGUUGGAAUU
ensembl:miRNA